UGACCCCAGGUCAGGCGGGACCACCUGCUAAGUUUAA
rnacentral:rRNA from 1 species